AACGGUAACAGGAAGCAGCUUGCUGCUUUGCUGACGAGUGGCGGACGGGUGAGUAAUGUCUGGGAAACUGCCUGAUGGAGGGGGAUAACUACUGGAAACGGUGGCUAAUACCGCAUAACGUCGCAAGACCAAAGAGGGGGACCUUCGGGCCUCUUGCCAUCAGAUGUGCCCAGAUGGGAUUAGCUUGUUGGUGAGGUAACGGCUCACCAAGGCGACGAUCCCUAGCUGGUCUGAGAGGAUGACCAGCCACACUGGAACUGAGACACGGUCCAGACUCCUACGGGAGGCAGCAGUGGGGAAUAUUGCACAAUGGGCGCAAGCCUGAUGCAGCCAUGCCGCGUGUAUGAAGAAGGCCUUCGGGUUGUAAAGUACUUUCAGCGGGGAGGAAGGUGUUGUGGUUAAUAACCGCAGCAAUUGACGUUACCCGCAGAAGAAGCACCGGCUAACUCCGUGCCAGCAGCCGCGGUAAUACGGAGGGUGCAAGCGUUAAUCGGAAUUACUGGGCGUAAAGCGCACGCAGGCGGUCUGUCAAGUCGGAUGUGAAAUCCCCGGGCUCAACCUGGGAACUGCAUUCGAAACUGGCAGGCUUGAGUCUUGUAGAGGGGGGUAGAAUUCCAGGUGUAGCGGUGAAAUGCGUAGAGAUCUGGAGGAAUACCGGUGGCGAAGGCGGCCCCCUGGACAAAGACUGACGCUCAGGUGCGAAAGCGUGGGGAGCAAACAGGAUUAGAUACCCUGGUAGUCCACGCCGUAAACGAUGUCUACUUGGAGGUUGUGCCCUUGAGGCGUGGCUUCCGGAGCUAACGCGUUAAGUAGACCGCCUGGGGAGUACGGCCGCAAGGUUAAAACUCAAAUGAAUUGACGGGGGCCCGCACAAGCGGUGGAGCAUGUGGUUUAAUUCGAUGCAACGCGAAGAACCUUACCUGGUCUUGACAUCCACAGAACUUUCCAGAGAUGGAUUGGUGCCUUCGGGAACUGUGAGACAGGUGCUGCAU
rnacentral:rRNA from 1 species